GACGUAGGGGGCGAGCGUUGUCCGGAGUCACUGGGCGUAAAGGGCGCGCAGGCGGGCGCGUGGGCCAUCGCGUGAAAGCCCCCGGCUCAACCGGGCGGUGGCGGGUGGGACCGCGCGGCUGGAGGGUGGUAGGGGCCGGUGGAAUUCCCGGUGUAGUGGUGAAAUGCGUAGAUAUCUGGAGGAACAUCGGUGGCGAAGGCGGCAUCCUGGACCGGUAUUGACGCUGAGGCGCGAAAGCCAGGGGAGCAAACGGG
rnacentral:rRNA from 1 species